AUACUGUCUUUAACUUGACGUCCCUGUCACAGUCUUGUGGAAUAAGAGAAAUUUAGUUUUUAUGAAAGAGAAUAGUGAAAAGUAGCUGUGCCAGCUGUGAGCGGGUGGUGGACCGUGCCAAGCUUCGCAGAUUUGCAGGGCAGGUGGAGCACUAUCAACCCAAAAGGAUCCUAAAAAUAGUUAUUGGCUGGACAUUUUCUGAGCCUUCAAGGUGAAGUUAAACCCAAGCUUCUCAGGAGAAGUUGAAAGCUCAUUCUUUCCAGUUUUCCUUGCUAAGCUUAGCUUACUUCUGCUGAGCUCCAUAACAGUUAUUGGAAGUGGGAGGAUAGAGCAAAAGAGGCACAUCAGCAUAUUGGUGUUCUGUAAUUUCCACUUGGUUGCAGUCAAAAAGAACAAGAAUUCUUUUCAUAUAAGGUGCAUGGAAAUCCAAGUUUGGUGGGACCUAAGAAACGCUCAGCGGAAUCGGGGGAGGAAGCCUCUGCAGACUCCGCUCCGCCAAAACUAGGGAGCGGGCAUAGACUGGCACCGCCUCUCUGAGGUUGGGUCUCAAAGACCAAAAGAGAACCAGCAGUCAAGCUUUUUUCUUGAUCCUUUUAACUUACGUGCCACGCUUCCUGGAGGGCCAAGACUUCUUUUCUGGCUACGGAACUGAAAAAUAUCAAACUCAAAAUUUAGCGCUGACUUCAGCUUUGGUCUUCGUUACUAGCCCAGCACGACCUUUUACCCCCUUACCCCCACCCCAAAGCUAUCUGGAGACAAAAGGAAUUCAUUCCUCCGUGGCGUAAAUACUCGUUGAGCGCUUACUGGGCGCCAGGAGGAA